rnacentral:rRNA from 1 species
UGAAGCAAAGUCGUGAGGCGGAGCAAAACACAAAACACAGUCUCAGUUCAGAUUGUAGGCUGAAACUCGCCUAUAUGAAGUCGGAAUUGCUAGUAAUCGCGGAUCAGCAUGCCGCGGUGAAUACGUUCCCGGGCCUUGUACACACCGCCCGUCACACCAUGGGAGCCGGUAAUACCCGAAGUCAGUAGUCCAACCUCGUGAGGACGCUGCCGAAGGUAGGAUUGGCGACUGGGGUGAAGUCGUAACAAGGUAUC